UGGGGAAUAUUGCACAAUGGGCGCAAGCCUGAUGCAGCCAUGCCGCGUGUGUGAAGAAGGCCUUCGGGUUGUAAAGCACUUUCAGCGAGGAGGAAGGUGGUGGACUUAAUACGUUCAUCAAUUGACGUUACUCGCAGAAGAAGCACCGGCUAACUCCGUGCCAGCAGCCGCGGUAAUACGGAGGGUGCAAGCGUUAAUCGGAAUUACUGGGCGUAAAGCGCACGCAGGCGGUUUGUUAAGUCAGAUGUGAAAUCCCCGGGCUCAACCUGGGAACUGCAUUUGAAACUGGCAAGCUAGAGUCUCGUAGAGGGGGGUAGAAUUCCAGGUGUAGCGGUGAAAUGCGUAGAGAUCUGGAGGAAUACCGGUGGCGAAGGCGGCCCCCUGGACGAAGACUGACGCUCAGGUGCGAAAGCGUGGGGCAGCAAACAGGAUUAGAUACCCUGGUAGUCCACGCUGUAAACGAUGUCGAUUUGGAGGUUGUGCCCCUUGAGGCGUGGCUUCCGGAGCUAACGCGUUAAAUCGACCGCCUGGGGAGUACGGCCGCAAGGUUAAAACUCAAAUGAAUUG
rnacentral:rRNA from 1 species